AACUGUCAAAAGCAUUAAUGCUAAGACAUAAUGUCAAGCACUUUUCCUAGCACAAAGAAAUGCUUGUCUUUAUGGAUGAAACUACUUGCCACAAUAUUUUCAUAAUGAAUCUAUACAAGCCAUAGAUUAUCUCCUGUUUUCUUCCAGGUGUUUAUAAAUUGUUUCAAUGUUUGUCUUAGUAUUUUUUUGUAAGAGUCCCAGUGUCUCUUUUCCUCUCUUUGUGAAGCACUCCAUCUCCUGCAGACUUUCAACUAUCAACUGCCUUCUGUAAGUUUACAAAGAUAAGACAUGGUCUUAGAAAUAAAGUCCAUACUAAGAAUUAACUGCAAAACAAUUGAAAGUGAAUUUUUUUUUUUUUUUUUACAUUUCUUGCCUACCAUUUGAGAGAUGAGUGCCACAGAAGAUGAGUAUUGUCGUUCAAGGAAGAGAAGGAAACAAGCUGUGGACAGAGGUCUGUGCACAGGAAAACAUCUUCUAGAGUUGGUAAAGAAUUCUGCACUGUAAUGCAAUUUUAUGAUGACCACAAGCGUCAUGGAAACAUUUCUGUUUCAGAAGGCUUUCACCAGC
ensembl:lncRNA